rnacentral:rRNA from 1 species
UUGAACGCUGGCGGCAGGCCUAACACAUGCAAGUCGAGCGGGGGUAGCAAUACCCUAGCGGCGGACGGGUGAGGAAUGCAUCGGAACGUGCCGAGUAGUGGGGGAUAACGCAGGGAAACUUGCGCUAAUACCGCAUACGCCCCGAGGGGGAAAGUGGGGGACCGCAAGGCCUCACGCUAUUUGAGCGGCCGAUGCCCGAUUAGCUAGUUGGUGAGGUAAAGGCUCACCAAGGCGACGAUCGGUAGCUGGUCUGAGAGGAUGAUCAGCCACACUGGAACUGAGACACGGUCCAGACUCCUACGGGAGGCAGCAGUGGGGAAUAUUGGACAAUGGGGGCAACCCUGAUCCAGCCAUGCCGCGUGAGUGAAGAAGGCCUUCGGGUUGUAAAGCUCUUUAAGUCGGGGAGGAAGGCUCGUUGGUUAAUAACCAGCGGGAUUGACGUUACCUGCAGAAUAAGCACCGGCUAAC